rnacentral:rRNA from 1 species
GAUGAACGCUGGCGGCGUGCCUAAUACAUGCAAGUCGAGCGGUAAGGCUUCUUCGGAGGUGCACGAGCGGCGGACGGCUGAGUAAUGCAUAGGAACGUACCCCAAACUGAGGGAUAAGCCACCGAAAGGUGGUCUAAUACCGCAUGUGCUCUUCGGAGUAAAGCUACGGCGGUUUGGGAGCGGCCUAUGUUCGAUUAGCUUGUUGGUGAGGUAAUGGCUCACCAAGGCGACGAUCGAUAGCGGGUCUGAGAGGAUGAUCCGCCAGACUGGAACUGAGACACGGUCCAGACUCCUACGGGAGGCAGCAGUAGGGAAUUUUCCACAAUGGGGGCAACCCUGAUGGAGCAACGCCGCGUGCAGGAUGAAGGCCUUCGGGUUGUAAACUGCUUUUCUCUGUGAUGAUUAUGACAGUAGCAGAGGAAUAAGGAUCGGCUAACUCCGUGCCAGCCGCCGCCGUAA